rnacentral:rRNA from 1 species
UCUCUUGUGCUCGUCGCCGAUUUAAUCCUGCCGUGGUGCUCUUUACCGAGUGUCGAGGUAGGCCGGCACGUUUACUUUGAACAAAUUAGAGUGCUCAAA